GAUUCUCGACAAUGGAUAUCUCAGCUAUCGCAUCAAUGAAAAACGUAGUGAAAUGUGAUACUAGGUGUGAAUUGCAAAAUCUCGUGAGCCAUCGAGUUUUUGAAUGCAAGUUGCGCCCGAGGCCUCUUGGUCUAGGGUACGUCUACCUAGAUGUCA